GAGGAUCAGUGAGGAGAAAAUCGUAGAAUCAUAGAAUGGUUCACUGAAUGAAAGACAGCAGAGGAGAUAUUCGAGCUGGAGGGUGGGGUGCCCAUUGGGCAUGUUUCAACCUUUGGUCUCUGAGGACCUCAAGAUGUGGACACCUUUCCUUCCUGGUCAGCAAUGUGGGCUGGGGACACUCAGAAGACAUCAAGGAACAAGGUAGGAGCCCAUCUGACUGCCCACCUCGUCUGGUUUCAGUGCUGAGACACCAGCACCAUCAAAAGGAAAUCUUCUUUGGGCUUUUCCACCUUAACUGAUGUUUUUUUUUUUCUCUCUUUCAGAUGUUACACACCAAAAUCAUCAGUUCACAUCAUGCAGAAAUUCGCAGUGCCUGAGAAGAAUUAAUUACACAGUCAUCAUGUUUCCGUAAAACUACAGGUUUCAGCCCUCAUUGUGUUGUUUCACACACCGCCCGUUACUCGUGGCUGAAGGGCAUUUGCUCCCUGCACGAAGUGAUCUGCCUCAGCGUGGGCUCAGGCUCACAGAGGUCUCCAUCGCAUCUGCUGGCUCUGACCUGCCGCUGAUCUGAAAUGCUAAAUCCAGGGAUACCAGGAAGAUGAUCCUGAUGGUUACAAGGGAUGCCCGAAAUUGCAACUGGUUGAGACAAGCACUUGGGAAAGGUUUCAAGUCGUGUACUAUGGUUUUAAGUGUCAGGAGGUCAAGUUCGGGGGAUGAGGCACAGUGCUUGGGUCUGUAUAUUCUCAGGAGAGAUACCGAGGUCUGGCUGCUGUCAGAUAUGGUACAAAGAGAAAUCCUCUGUCUGAUCUGCUUUGAGUUUCUGUGUGCUACAGCUACAGGAAGCAGUAGCAAAACGGUCACAGAUGCACAGAACAGUGGUGUGCUUAGCAAAGGGUGCAAGACUGUUCUGUGUGCUGCUGGAGGAGAGCCCUGGCCUUGCUGCACCCCCAGGACAGAGCAAGCAGGUCUGCUGUGACCCAUCGCUGGGUCCUGGGCUGGGCUUCGGGGCUGCUCUCUGGAUGCUGCUGCAGGUCCGUGCUUCCAUAGAGGCACCGGGCAAAGCAAGUAGCAAAGGAAGAGCUGGGUCGUUUUGGCUUUGGUGGGUGUCAGCACUGGGUUAUCUCUUCACACACAAAACCACAUCCCAAGGGGGAAAGAUGUCGCAGAUCAUGUGGCAAAGGAUGGGGCCGAGCCUCAUAACGUCUUCAUCUGCUGAAAUAUGUUUCUGUUUUACUGAUUCCAGGCAGAAGCAUGCUGUGGCAGUCUCCUCUCUGACAGCAUCAUCUGCAGGUUUCAAGGGAUCAUUUCUAAUGGCUAGAAGAUUAGUUAAGCGGAGAGCCAGCCCCCAGCUUCAUGCAAGCGGUGUCUGUUUUCCCAAGGCUCAGCAACCACCACAAUCCCCAUCAAGUGCCAGUGUCAAAUAUGCACAUCGGCAGGGCAUCAGGGCAGAGAUGACGCGUGGGCUUUGCUCAAAGCAUUUCGGGUGGUGGUGGACGCUGCUGGCUCUGCAUCCCACACAUCGCACCCGACUCGAGGAGCUGCCAGCAGAGCUGCUAAGCCAGCACCACGUGCGUGCUGCUCCCCGUCUGGUGCACGGUGCAGUCAUAAAUCCUCCCCGGUAAGUGAUUCGGGAAAGAACAAACACGUAAAAUGAAUCAAGCUGUGUGUGUCAGGCAGCGGCGUGUGCUGUUUGCUAGACUAAACAGUGGGGUAAGGCUCUUCAGGGGAUAAAUCCACUGCAUCAGCCUGUGCUAAUGCUACCUGCAGUGAUAUAAAACAGGAGAUAAAAAUGUGCUUACUUUGCUUUAGGUAAAAAGCACAUUCCUGUCUGAUCUGCCGGCUUGUGUGUUCUUGGUCCAGGCUUUCCCAGAGACCUGUUGGCAUCCACUCCUGUGUUCUCCACAAAAGCCUAGGGUGAAAAUGCCUCUGGUCUGCUGCAAUCUUCAGCAUAAGAGCUUUCAGUGCUCAGGACAGAAUUCUAUGCUUGAAUUUUGAUUUCCACAAGAAACGCAAGUGGUAUGACCUGCAUAGUCACAUGCAAAACAAAUCAGACAAACUGAUUUGUCUUUUGAAGUUUGUAACGUGUAUUUUUAUUCCCUUUUUCAAGGCACGGCGUUUUGUUUGUGGAUCUGGCAGGAGGAGAGCAUCUCCCCAGGAGCUGCAGCAACAGCGAGGGGCUGGAAGGCACCCGGCUCCCUGCAGCCCCAGCACCGGAGCCUCUGCGGGACUGCCCACGCUGCUCUCCCUGCCCGCGGGAUGGAGGCACGGCUUUUCUGCAGGCAUCACAUCCUCCUACAUGGCAGAGGCUGGGCAGGAUUGCUCUGUAGCUCACAGACCUUUUGACCACUGUUUUAUUUUCCUUUCAUUCUCAAGUCAACCAGAUUUACUGCUUGCAGAGUAAAUAUUGGUGCAACCCCCAAGGGUCAGCAUCUAGCAAAAUGAGUGGUGUUUGCUGAGGAGGUGAUGGGGGGGGCUGAGGAGUGGCAGACACCGACGCAGCCGUUUUGAGACUGCUCCCAACGCCGGUAUUUUGAUUUUUUUUCCCAGUUUCUAGCAAUACCACUUUUCUGCCACUCUGCCUCUCCAGAGUUUCUGCUGACAGGACAGAACUGCUGGUAGCAAACACAUUAUUCAUUGUGAUUGAGUGCCUAGUAAUUACUUUAUAUAUUUUUUCAAUUCUCAAAUUAAAACCAUUUACUAGUAGGAACAGAUGUUAAAUUCAGGACUCUUGUUGAUUGUUAGUGUGACACACACAUGAAAUGUUUUAAACUAGAAGGCUGAUUGAAUUUUAAAUAUGCUGAUCACACUGGUGAAAUUUAAAAUAAUUGAAACUGGGAAUAACUGAAACGUUUCCAAGAAGGGAUGACAGAGGUGGGGUUUGCUUUUCAAACCCAUGAUUGCACAAAUCAUGUUAAGCUCUGCAGAGGAAAUACAAUAAUUUUCUGUGUGUUGCGGAACCAACCAUGGACUUGCAUGGUACUUCGUGGUACUUUGGUACUUCAAAAUGGCAGGAGAAAAGAACUUAGAGAUGAACGUAGAAUCUAUUUUCAAAUCAAUACCUCAAAUGUUAUCCACACACUCUGUAGGAAUGUGAUUUUUUUGUUUGUUUGUUUAUUCAAUAAAAUUAUAUUUUUCAGGGAAUCCA
ensembl:lncRNA